rnacentral:rRNA from 1 species
ACAUACGACCAUAGGCACUGGAGAAUUCGGGAUCCCGUCCGCUCUCCCAUAGACAAGUCAGUGACCGACGAGACUAGUACUCGGGUGGGUGACCACCGGGGAAUCCCUGUUGUUGUAUGUU